AGCUCCAAUAGCGUAUAUUAAAGUUGUUGCAGUUAAAAAGCUCGUAGUUGGAUUUCUGGCAGGAGUGACCGGUCACGCACUCUGUGCGUGAACUUGUGUUGUCUCUGGCCAUCCUUGGGGAGAUCCUAUUUGGCAUUAAGUUGUCGGGUAGGGGAUACCCAUCGUUUACUGUGAAAAAAUUAGAGUGUUUAAAGCAGGCUUAUGCCGUUGAAUAUAUUAGCAUGGAAUAAUAAGAUAGGACUUCGGAACUAUUUUGUUGGUUUGCGUUACGAAGUAAUGAUUAAUAGGGACAGUUGGGGGUAUUCGUAUUUCAUUGUCAGAGGUGAAAUUCUUGGAUUUCUGAAAGACGAACUACUGCGAAAGCAUUUACCAAGGAUGUUUUCAUUA
rnacentral:rRNA from 1 species